GUGUUUGCUUUGGCAGCGCAUAUACCAAAAUUGGAACGAUACGGAGAUUAGCAUGGUCCCUGCACAAGGAUGACACAAAUUUGGAAGCAUUCCACAUUUUU
ensembl:snRNA U6 U6 spliceosomal RNA